CUAGGAUUAGAUACCCUAUUAUUAGCAAUGUAAAUAAGGUAGCUUAGGUAUUAAUUGGUGUUCAUGAAACCUAGAGAAUUUGGCGGUGCUUUAGUCUUUUUAGAGGAACCUGUCCUAUAAUCGAUAGUCCACGUUGUUAUUACCUAUUUUGAUUAAUAGUUUGUAUAUCGCCGUCAGAAGGUAAUUUUUUGAGGAGAGUAAUUUUUGUAAUAUUGGGGGAUAGGAUGACAGGUCAAGGUGCAGCUGAUGGGUAGGGAGGAGAUGGGUUACAAUAUAGUGAAUAUAAAUGGAUUCUUUGGUAGAAGGGGAUGAAGGUGGAUUUAAGAGUAAUUUUAUAAUAUAAGGGUGAAGAGGGCUCUAAAGUGUGCACACAUCGCCCGUCACUCUCAUUAAUUAUGAGAUAAGUCGUAACAUAG
rnacentral:rRNA from 1 species